UCGAUGUGUCAUCACAAAAGAUAUUAAAAUGUUUUAUUAAGGUUGAAAAGUUCCUUAGUGUCGCUUUAAGGCUGAAGAGAGGAAGAAAAGUUGUCAACAAACAGCUGCUCCAGUUGUGCAGGGGAUGGAGACAACUGAAGAAGAGACCAGUGUGGUGGCCCGAGUUGUGGAGCACUGCAAGAAAGCAGCAGAAUGGGUGGAGAUGAACCCACAGCUGUCAGCAGCCAGGGUGGAGGUGCCUGACGGUUUGAGCAUGGACGACACAUCAUGCACUGAGGAGGCUGUGCAACAGCUGGAAAACCUCUUUCACGCCACCCUGGAUUUUGGUGAAGAGGAAAGAGAAGUGAUUCUGGAGCUUUUUAAGUUUUUGUUAAACAACAUUUGAGAUAUGUGUGUCUUUUGUGAAGAGAUCAUGGACAAAGGAGGGUACAUAGCAUACUGUGAGCGCAAAGAAAAAUAAAACAAAUUGGAAGUUUG